GGUUGCAUAGCUCAAUUGGAUAGAGCAUCUGACUACGAAUCAGAAGGUUUGGGGUUCGACUCCCUAUGUGACCA
rnacentral:tRNA from 1 species